UGGGGAAUAUUGCACAAUGGGCGCAAGCCUGAUGCAGCCAUGCCGCGUGUGUGAAGAAGGCCUUCGGGUUGUAAAGCACUUUCAGCGAGGAGGAAGGGCAGUGUGUUAAUAGCACAUUGCAUUGACGUUACUCGCAGAAGAAGCACCGGCUAACUCCGUGCCAGCAGCCGCGGUAAUACGGAGGGUGCAAGCGUUAAUCGGAAUUACUGGGCGUAAAGCGCACGCAGGCGGUUUGUUAAGUCAGAUGUGAAAUCCCCACGCUUAACGUGGGAACUGCAUUUGAAACUGGCAAGCUAGAGUCUUGUAGAGGGGGGUAGAAUUCCAGGUGUAGCGGUGAAAUGCGUAGAGAUCUGGAGGAAUACCGGUGGCGAAGGCGGCCCCCUGGACAAAGACUGACGCUCAGGUGCGAAAGCGUGGGGAGCAAACA
rnacentral:rRNA from 1 species